rnacentral:rRNA from 1 species
UGUUUCGGCAAGGGGGUCAUCCCGACUUACCAACCCGAUGCAAACUGCGAAUACCGGAGAAUGUUAUCACGGGAGACACACGGCGGGUGCUAACGUCCGUCGUGAAGAGGGAAACAACCCAGACCGCCAGCUAAGGUCCCAAAGUCAUGGUUAAGUGGGAAACGAUGUGGGAAGGCCCAGACAGCCAGGAUGUUGGCUUAGAAGCAGCCAUCAUUUAAAGAAAGCGUAAUAGCUCACUGGUCGAGUCGGCCUGCGCGGAAGAUGUAACGGGGCUAAACCAUGCACCGAAGCUGCGGCAGCGACGCUGAUGCGUUGUUGGGUAGGGGAGCGUUCUGUAAGCCUGCGAAGGUGUGCUGUGAGGCAUGCUGGAGGUAUCAGAAGUGCGAAUGCUGACAUAAGUAACGAUAAAGCGGGUGAAAAGCCCGCUCGCCGGAAGACCAAGGGUUCCUGUCCAACGUUAAUCGGGGCAGGGUGAGUCGACCCCUAAGGCGAGGCCGAAAGGCGUAGUCGAUGGGAAACAGGUUAAUAUUCCUGUACUUGGUGUUACUGCGAAGGGGGGACGGAGAAGGCUAUGUUGGCCGGGCGACGGUUGUCCCGGUUUAAGCGUGUAGGCUGGUUUUCCAGGCAAAUCCGGAAAAUCAAGGCUGAGGCGUGAUGACGAGGCACUACGGUGCUGAAGCAACAAAUGCCCUGCUUCCAGGAAAAGCCUCUAAGCAUCAGGUAACAUCAAAUCGUACCCCAAACCGACACAGGUGGUCAGGUAGAGAAUACCAAGGCGCUUGAGAGAACUCGGGUGAAGGAACUAGGCAAAAUGGUGCCGUAACUUCGGGAGAAGGCACGCUGAUAUGUAGGUGAAGUCCCUUGCGGAUGGAGCUG